rnacentral:rRNA from 1 species
GAUGAACGCUAGCUACAGGCUUAACACAUGCAAGUCGAGGGGAAACGACAUCGAAAGCUUGCUUUUGAUGGGCGUCGACCGGCGCACGGGUGAGUAACGCGUAUCCAACCUGCCCAUCACUUGGGGAUAACCUUGCGAAAGUAAGACUAAUACCCAAUGAUAUCUCUAGAAGACAUCUGAAAGAGAUUAAAGAUUUAUCGGUGAUGGAUGGGGAUGCGUCUGAUUAGCUUGUUGGCGGGGUAACGGCCCACCAAGGCGACGAUCAGUAGGGGUUCUGAGAGGAAGGUCCCCCACAUUGGAACUGAGACACGGUCCAAACUCCUACGGGGGGCAGCAGUGAGGAAUAUUGGUCAAUGGGCGAGAGCCUGAACCAGCCAAGUAGCGUGCAGGAUGACGGCCCUAUGGGUUGUAAACUGCUUUUAUAAGGGAAUAAAGUGAGUCUCGUGAGACUUUUUGCAUGUACCUUAUGAAUAAGGACCGGCUAAUUCUGUGCCAGCAGCCGCGGUAAUACGGAAGGUCCGGGCGUUAUCCGGAUUUAUUGGGUUUAAAGGGAGCGUAGGCCGGAGAUUAAGCGUGUUGUGAAAUGUAGACGCUCAACGUCUGCACUGCAGCGCGAACUGGUUUCCUUGAGUACGCACAAAGUGGGCGGAAUUCGUGGUGUAGCGGUGAAAUGCUUAGAUAUCACGAAGAACUCCGAUUGCGAAGGCAGCUCACUGGAGCGCAACUGACGCUGAAGCUCGAAAGUGCGGGUAUCGAACAGGAUUAGAUACCCUGGUAGUCCGCACGGUAAACGAUGGAUGCCCGCUGUUGGUCUGAAUAGGUCAGCGGCCAAGCGAAAGCAUUAAGCAUCCCACCUGGGGAGUACGCCGGCAACGGUGAAAC